rnacentral:rRNA from 1 species
GACAGAGGGUGCAAACGUUGUUCGGAAUUACUGGGCGUAAAGCGUGUGUAGGCGGCCAUUCAAGUCGGAUGUGAAAGCCCCGGGCUCAACCCGGGAAGUGCACCCGAAACUGGAUGGCUUGAGUAUCGGAGAGGUUGGUGGAAUUCUCGGUGUAGAGGUGAAAUGCGUAGAUAUCGGGAGGAACACCUGUGGCGAAAGCGGCUCACUGGACCACAACUGACGCUGAGACGCGAAAGCUAGGGGAGCAAACAGG